AUUGAACGCUGGCGGAAUGCUUUACACAUGCAAGUCGAGCGGCAGCACGGGGGCAACCCUGGUGGCGAGCGGCGAACGGGUGAGUAAUACAUCGGAACAUGCCCAGUCGUGGGGGAUAACACUUCGAAAGAAGUGCUAAUACCGCAUACGUCCUGAGGGAGAAAGCGGGGGAUCGCAAGACCUCGCGCGAUUGGAGUGGCCGAUGUCAGAUUAGCUAGUUGGUGGGGUAAAGGCCUACCAAGGCAACGAUCUGUAGCUGGUCUGAGAGGAUGAUCAGCCACACUGGGACUGAGACACGGCCCAG
rnacentral:rRNA from 1 species